rnacentral:rRNA from 1 species
UACGGAGGGUGCGAGCGUUGUCCGGAAUCAUUGGGCGUAAAGGGCGCGUAGGUGGCCCGGUCAGUUCGUGGUGAAAGCGCGGGGCUCAACCCUGCGUCGGCCAUGAAUACUGCCGCGGCUGGAGCACUGUAGAGGCAGGCGGAAUUCCGGGUGUAGCGGUGGAAUGCGUAGAGAUCCGGAAGAACACCGGUGGCGAAGGCGGCCUGCUGGGCAGUUGCUGACACUGAGGCGCGAAAGCUAGGGGAGCGAACGGG